GGAGGGUGCAAGCGUUGUUCGGAAUUAUUGGGCGUAAAGCGCGUGUAGGUGGUCGGGUAAGUCAGAUGUGAAAGCCUUCUGCUUAACAGAAGAAGUGCAUUUGAAACUGCUCGGCUAGAGUACGGGAGAGGAGAGUGGAAUUCCCGGUGUAGAGGUGAAAUUCGUAGAUAUCGGGAGGAACACCAGUGGCGAAGGCGGCUCUCUGGUCCGAUACUGACGCUGAGACGCGAAAGCGUGGGGAGCAAACAGGAUUAGAUACCCUGGUAGUCCACGCCGUAAGCGAUGGGCACUAGGUGUAGGAGGUAUUGACCCCUUCUGUGCCGAAGCUAACGCAUUAAGUGCCCCGCCUGGGGAGUACGGCCGCAAGGCUA
rnacentral:rRNA from 1 species